UAUACUUGCGGCGGGGCCCGUUGCCAGCUCCGUCCACAUGUCUGUUCGGGGGAUGCCAUCGUGGGGCCUGGUCGCGUCGGCCACACUGUCAGGGGCUCGUUCACCUGCGCAUCUACCGAUGUGGUAUAUGCCGUCGUGUGCCGGCGAUGCCCCUCUGCCAUGUGCAUUGGCCAAACUGGACAGUCUCUACGCGAGGGAAUGGGUG